rnacentral:rRNA from 1 species
AUUGAACGCUGGCGGCAGGCCUAACACAUGCAAGUCGAGCGAGCGGCGGACGGGUGAGUAAUGUCUGGGAAACUGCCUGAUGGAGGGGGAUAACUACUGGAAACGGUAGCUAAUACCGCAUACCCUCAGAUGUGCCCAGAUGGGAUUAGCUUGUAGGUGAGGUAACGGCUCACCUAGGCGACGAUCCCUAGCUGGUCUGAGAGGAUGACCAGCCACAAUGGAACGGAGAUCCGGUCCAGACUCCUAGGGGAGGCAGCAGGGGGGAAUAUGGCACAAUGGGCGCAAGCCUGAUGCAGCCAUGCCGCGUGGAGGAAGAAGGCCUUCGGGUUGUAAAGUACUUUCAGCGGGGAGGCGUUACCCGCAGAAGAAGCACCGGCUAACUCCGUGCCAGCAGCCGCGGUAAUUC